UUUCCCCUGACAGAACCACAAACCGGUUUUAUGUUUUGUAAAAAAUAUUAAUAAAAUUGCAAUAAAAAUACAAAAUGUGUUGGUUAGGCUGGGCAGUAGCGUUUUCUUUACUCUCCUACAUGUUUAUGACACCAAAACCUCAUUAAAAUGUGAUGACAUCAUCCAAGCCUGAAGAAGAAAAUUAAAUGAUCAUCGCCGAUUUCUGAAGAAUGUGUUGUACUCUGUCCAGCAACCAAGAAAAAAAUUGUAAAACAUGCAAAUGAUAAAAAUAUACUCGAUUUUUGUAACUAA